rnacentral:misc_RNA from 1 species
GAUGAAGAACGUAGCGAAAUGCGAAAAGUAAUGUGAAUUGCAGAAUUCAGUGAAUCAUCGAAUCUUUGAACGCACAUUGCGCCCGCUGGUACUCCGGCGGGCACGCCUGUCCGAGCGUCAUUUCAACCCUCAAGCCCUCCUUCGGGAUGGGCCUGGUGUUGGGGCUCGGCCGCCAUCUCCGGCGGCCGUCCCCUAAAUACAGUGGCGGUCACGUCGCGACUCCUUUGCGUAGUAGAAACACCUCGCUCCGGAUAGCAACGCGGUCCACGCCGUAAAACCCCCAAUUUUCAAUGGUUGACCUCGGAUCAGGUGGGAAUACCCGCUGAACUUAAGCAUAUCGAUAAGCGGAGGA